UACGUAGGGGGCGAGCGUUGUCCGGAAUUAUUGGGCGUAAAGGGCUCGUAGGCGGUUUGUCGCGUCGGGAGUGAAAACCUUGGGCUUAACUCAGGGCUUGCUUUCGAUACGGGCAGACUAGAGGUAUGCAGGGGAGAACGGAACUCCUGGUGUAGCGGUGGAAUGCGCAGAUAUCAGGAAGAACACCGGUGGCGAAGGCGGCUCUCUGGGCUUUACCUGACGCUGAGGAGCGAAAGCGUGGGUAGCGAACAGG
rnacentral:rRNA from 1 species